CGGGCCUUCUGUCAUCAGAUGAGUCUGCGUACCAUUAGCUAGUUGGUAGGGUAAUGGCCUACCAAGGCUACGAUGGUUAGCUGGUUUGAGAGGUCAAUCCCCCACACUGGCACUGAGAUACGGGCCAGACUCCUACGGGAGGCAGCAGUAGGGAAUAUUGGGCAAUGGACGCAAGUCUGACCCAGCCAUGCCGCGUGCAGGAUGAAGGCGUUAUGCGUUGUAAACUGCUUUUAUACAGGAAGAAACGACUCUUGCGAGAGGCAUUGACGGUACUGUAUGAAUAAGCACCGGCUAACUCCGUG
rnacentral:rRNA from 1 species